AUUGAACGCUGGCGGCAUGCCUUACACAUGCAAGUCGAACGGCAGCACGGGAGCAAUCCUGGUGGCGAGUGGCGAACGGGUGAGUAAUAUAUCGGAACGUGCCCAGUAGUGGGGGAUAGCCCGGCGAAAGCCGGAUUAAUACCGCAUACGACCUGUGGGUGAAAGCGGGGGAUCGCAAGACCUCGCGCUAUUGGAGCGGCCGAUAUCAGAUUAGCUAGUUGGUGGGGUAAAGGCUCACCAAGCCAACGAUCUGUAGCUGGUCUGAGAGGACGACCAGCCACACUGGAACUGAGACACGGUCCAGACUCCUACGGGAGGCAGCAGUGGGGAAUUUUGGACAAUGGACGCAAGUCUGAUCCAGCCAUUCCGCGUGCAGGAUGAAGGCCCUCGGGUUGUAAACUGCUUUUGUACGGAACGAAAAGGUUUCUAUUAAUACUAGGAGCUCAUGACGGUACCGUAAGAAUAAGCACCGGCUAACUACGUGCCAGCAG
rnacentral:rRNA from 1 species